GAUGAACGCUGGCGGCGUGCCUAAUACAUGCAAGUUGAGCGAAUGGAUUAAGAGCUUGCUCUUAUGAAGUUAGCGGCGGACGGGUGAGUAACACGUGGGUAACCUGCCCAUAAGACUGGGAUAACUCCGGGAAACCGGGGCUAAUACCGGAUAACAUUUUGAACCGCAUGGUUCGAAAUUGAAAGGCGGCUUCGGCUGUCACUUAUGGAUGGACCCGCGUCGCAUUAGCUAGUUGGUGAGGUAACGGCUCACCAAGGCAAUGAUGCGUAGCCGACCUGAGAGGGUGAUCGGCCACACUGGGACUGAGACACGGCCCAGACUCCUACGGGAGGCAGCAGUAGGGAAUCUUCCGCAAUGGACGAAAGUCUGACGGAGCAACGCCGCGUGAGUGAUGAAGGCUUUCGGGUCGUAAAACUCUGUUGUUAGGGAAGAACAAGUGCUAGUUGAAUAAGCUGACACCUUGACGGUACCUAACCAGAAAGCCACGGCUAACUACGUGCCAGCCGCCGCAGUAA
rnacentral:rRNA from 1 species